rnacentral:rRNA from 1 species
UACGUAGGGUGCAAGCGUUAAUCGGAAUUACUGGGCGUAAAGCGUGCGCAGGCGGUUCUGUAAGUCUGUCGUGAAAUCCCCGGGCUCAACCUGGGAAUGGCGAUGGAGACUGCAAGGCUAGAAUCUGGCAGAGGGGGGUAGAAUUCCACGUGUAGCAGUGAAAUGCGUAGAGAUGUGGAGGAACACCGAUGGCGAAGGCAGCCCCCUGGGUCAAGAUUGACGCUCAUGCACGAAAGCGUGGGGAGCAAACAGG